rnacentral:rRNA from 1 species
UGGGGAAUAUUGCACAAUGGGCGCAAGCCUGAUGCAGCCAUGCCGCGUGUGUGAAGAAGGCCUUCGGGUUGUAAAGCACUUUCAGCGGGGAGGAAGGCGGUGAGGUUAAUAACCUCAUCGAUUGACGUUACCCGCAGAAGAAGCACCGGCUAACUCCGUGCCAGCAGCCGCGGUAAUACGGAGGGUGCAAGCGUUAAUCGGAAUUACUGGGCGUAAAGCGCACGCAGGCGGUCUGUCAAGUCGGAUGUGAAAUCCCCGGGCUCAACCUGGGAACUGCAUUCGAAACUGGCAGGCUAGAGUCUUGUAGAGGGGGGUAGAAUUCCAGGUGUAGCGAUGAAAUGCAUAGAGAUCUGGAGGAAUACCGGUGGCGAAGGCGGCCCCCUGGACAAAGACUGACGCUCAGGUGCGAAAGCGUGGGGAGCAAACAGG